rnacentral:lncRNA from 1 species
UCAGCAAUCAUACAAUCAAUAAAUUCUAAACUUUCCUUUGAGACUUCUUUUGUUGUAUAACAUUGGUCAAACUCCAUUUUAGAUCUAUAGAUAUCCAUCAAUUAAGAAUCCAAUAUAUUGAUUCUCUCCGAAGAAAUCAAGAUUGGACCUGCCAAUUUUCAACGAUUCUAAAAACAUCAUCAUACAACAACAAAAUUGUUCCUCCAAUCUUAAGUUAUUGAAACCUCUAUCCAUGGUGGUUUUCAUGGCUAUUGUAUCCACAGUAAAGCGAAUAAAAUAAGUUAUUUACUACUUAAAUCUGGAUGCAACGGAAACAUGAUGAUUUUCUUACCAUCGAUCAUGGCCACAUAUUCCAAGUCGGAGAUAACAACGAAUUGGGAGAUGUAUUGGUUAGCACCCAAUACGUCGUAAAUAAUUCUGCAACUUUUCGCUGUUAUAGAAAAGAGAAAAACACAAAAGAAAAAGUUUCGAAAUAGAAACCCAAGAUGCCAUUACGAAACCAAACUCAUGAAAUCAACACUCUCGGAUGUGAAUUGAAAGAAAAUAGCGCUUGAGACAAUCGCCCAAUUGUCUCUCUCCAUGGUUUUAAGACACCACAGUUUAUAAA